rnacentral:rRNA from 1 species
GUGCCAGCAGCCGCGGUAAUUCCAGCUCCAAUAGCGUAUACUAAAGUUGUUGCGAUUAAAAAGCUCGUAGUUGGAUCUCAGGCAUGGGCGCACGGUCCGCCUCGCGGCGGUCACUGUGUGAAUUGUUUUCCCAUCCUACGCUUCCCGGUUGUUCAGCCCAUGGUGCUCUUCAUUGAGCGUUUUGGGUGGCCGGAACGUUUACUUUGAAGAAAUUAGAGUGUUCAAAGCAGGCACAUCGCCUGAAUAAUGGUGCAUGGAAUGAUGGAAUAGGACCUCGGUUCUAUUUUGCUGGUUUUCGGAACACGAGGUAAUGAUUAAGAGGGACAGACGGGGGCAUCCGUAUUGCGGUGUUAGAGGUGAAAUUCUUGGAUCAUCGCAAGACGAACAACUGCGAAAGCAUUUGCCAAGCAUGUUUUCAUUA